CAAUCAGCAAGUAUACUGCCUCA
rnacentral:miRNA from 17 species